GCAGUGGUAGUUCAGUAGUAGAAUUCUUGCCUACCAUGUGGGAGACCUGGGUUCGAUUCUCAGCCAGCA
rnacentral:tRNA from 1 species